UUUUGACUAGUAUAUGGGUUAAGUACACCCGCUUAUCAUGCAGAACAUACACAGCUGUCCGCGGGAGAGCAGGGUUCGACUCCCCGGUCGAGAG